rnacentral:rRNA from 1 species
UUGACGGGACCCGCACAAGCGGUGGAUGAUGUGGUUUAAUUCGAUGCAACGCGAAAACCUUACCCACCUUUGACAUGUACGGAAUCCUUUAGAGAUAGAGGAGUGCUCGAAAGAGAACCGUAACACAGGUGCUGCAUGGCUGUCGUCAGCUCGUGUCGUGAGAUGUUGGGUUAAGUCCCGCAACGAGCGCAACCCUUGUCAUUAGUUGCUACAUUCAGUUGGGCACUCUAAUGAGACUGCCGGUGACAAACCGGAGGAAGGUGGGGAUGACGUCAAGUCCUCAUGGCCCUUAUAGGUGGGGCUACACACGUCAUACAAUGGAUGGUACAAAGGGUCGCCAACCCGCGAGGGGGAGCCAAUCCCAUAAAGCCAUUCGUAGUCCGGAUCGCAGUCUGCAACUCGACUGCGUGAAGUCGGAAUCGCUAGUAAUCGUGGAUCAGAAUGUCACGGUGAAUACGUUCCCGGGUCUU